rnacentral:lncRNA from 1 species
AGGCAAUGGCCUGUACCAACAUAAUUAUUUAAAGUAAUUUGUAGCAUAUGUCCAAGCAAAGAGCUGCAAUUUAAAUAAGGCUAUUUUCAAAGGGGAGUUUGCUUUUCCUUUUCCUACAUUGCAGCAUUCCAGGAAAUUGUGGAGCUCUAUGAAGAAGAUCAAGUAUUUUCUUAUUUUUGAAGAUAUUGCGGAAAUAAAUAAAACAGCAUCUAGAUAAGUGCAAAAUGUUGAUUACAAUUAAUAUAAAAGCACAGCUUUCUGAAUGAUUUCCUGUUAUGAGAAAAGAACAGUUAGGAAAGUAAUUGACAAUUACUUACAUGUUAAUUUAUUUAAAAUAUGUUUGAAGAUCUAGUAAACUAUUAACAUAUUAAUAUACUCUGAUUAUCUAUUUCACUAAUUAAUACUCUUAGGUAUAUAUACAUGAUAAUAUAUAAUAAUAAGUUACUCUUUAGUUUUUUUGUCCAUUUUGAGAGUUUUCUAUUCUCAAGUAUACUCCCCAGGCUAGAGGGGAGAUGGUAUUAUUGGUAAAUGGAAACUUUCAGAACCCUUUAAAUCACACUAAGCAAGCAUACUCCAAUCUCUUCCCAUUUCAAAGUUGCAUAGGAGAAAAAAAUACCCUUUUGUUAGGUCAAAACGCUCAUGUUAGGAGCGCUGUACUAUAAAGUAAACAAUUACUGAAUCUCUGUAGGUUUAAAUGCCAAAGAUAAAAGGAUGUACUAGACCUCUGAAAUUCUGAAAAGUUCCAAAUACUUCAUAACUAAAGAGGAGAGAGCACUGGUGAUAUUACCAUCCUAAAUACCUCUUUUUUUUCUUCCUGAGAUGGAAGCUUGCUCUGUAGCCCAGGCUGGAAGUACAGCGGCGAGAUCUUGGCUCAAGCAAUCCCGGCCUCCUCGGUUCAAGCAUUUCUCUUGCCUGAGCCUCCCAAGUAGCUGGGACUACAGGUGCCCACCACCACACCGGCUAAUUUUUGUAUUUUUGGUAGACACAAGGUGUCAUGAUGUUGACCAGGCUGGUCUCGAACUCCUGACCUCAGAAUACAACAUAUAGCAUUGAUACAAAGGAUGCACUAAAGGAUGGACACAAAUGAAAGAACUGAGACAUGAAUUUGUUCUUAAGAAAAUUAUUCUCCAUUCUUUGAGAAGUCAACUGAAUAGGAUGAAGAAACUGCUCUAUGUUAUCAAGUUUUUAAAUUUUGUAUUUACUUAUUUACUUUUGUUGUUACUUAAAUCAACUUUAAAAUAAAAUAAAAUUUAUAUUUGAGUACAAAA